UUUCCAGGAAUGGGGGAUAGCCUGCAUGAAUGCAGAGGUCAUUCCCUAUGCCUGGAGUGC
rnacentral:pre_miRNA from 1 species